UUACGGCAAUAUCACGGUGGAACACCGGUUCUCUUACGAUCACCGAAGUUAAGCAACGUAGAGCAUAGUCAGUACCUAGACGGGUGAGCGUUUGGGGAUACCA